GCCGCAUGGUGGGGGUUGGAAAGAUUUUUUGGAUGGGGAUGGGCUCACGGCCUAUCAGCUUGUUGGUGGGGUGAUGGCCUACCAAGGCGUCGACGGGUAGCCGGCCUGAGAGGGUGACCGGCCACAUUGGGACUGAGAUACGGCCCAGACUCCUACGGGAGGCAGCAGUGGGGAAUAUUGCACAAUGGACGCAAGUCUGAUGCAGCGACGCCGCGUGGGGGAUGAAGGCUUUCGGGUUGUAAACUCCUUUCAGUACAGAAGAAGCAUUUUUGUGACGGUAUGUGCAGAAGAAGCGCCGGCUAACUACGUGCCAGCAGCCGCGGUAAUACGUAGGGCGCGAGCGUUGUCCGGAAUUAUUGGGCGUAAAGAGCUCGUAGGCGGUUUGUUGCGCCUGCUGUGAAAGACCGGGGCUUAACUUCGGGGUUGCAGUGGGUACGGGCAGACUAGAGUGUGGUAGGGGUAAUUGGAAUUCCUGGUGUAGCGGUGGAAUGCGCAGAUAUCAGGAGGAACACCGAUGGCGAAGGCAGGUUACUGGGCCAUUACUGACGCUGAGGAGCGAAAGCGUGGGUAGCGAACAGGAUUAGAUACCCUGGUAGUCCACGCUGUAAACGUUGGGCACUAGGUGUGGGGCCUUUUCCACGGGUUCUGCGCCGUAGCUAACGCUUUAAGUGCCCCGCCUGGGGAGUACGGCCGCAAGGUUAAAACUCAAAGGAAUUGACGGGGGCCCGCACAAGCGGCGGAGCAUGCGGAUUAAUUCGAUGCAACGCGAAGAACCUUACCAAGGCUUGACAUACACUGCGAUGUGCCAGAGAUGGUGCAGCCUUCGGGGUGGUGUACAGGUGGUGCAUGGUUGUCGUCAGCUCGUGUCGUGAGAUGUUGGGUUAAGUCCCGCAACGAGCGCAACCCUUGUCCUGUGUUGCCAGCAUGUUGUGGUGGGGACUCACGGGAGACUGCCGGGGUUAACUCGGAGGAAGGUGGGGAUGACGUCAAAUCAUCAUGCCCCUUAUGUCUUGGGCUUCACGCAUGCUACAAUGGCCGGUACAGAGGGUUGCGAGCCUGUGAGGGUGAGCUAAUCCCUUAAAGCUGGUCUCAGUUCGGAUUGGGGUCUGCAACUCGACCCCAUGAAGUCGGAGUCGCUAGUAAUCGCAGAUCAGCAACGCUGCGGUGAAUACGUUCUCGGGCCUUGUACACACCGCCCGUCACGUCACGAAAGUUGG
rnacentral:rRNA from 1 species